AAAGAAUAAAGAAUGUAUAAUUAAAGAGCGUGUCAGCCAGAUGCUGCAUCUCUACUUCUUUGUACCAUAAAUCACUCAUUGUUUAGAAUUUGCAUCCACAUUCACUUUCUUGAAAGCAUAGUAUCCAGAAGAGAGUAAAAGCUAGUCAACAUCAGGGUUGUAUUUGGAGAUUGAUGGUAAUUUGAUAUGGUACAACUCAACUACUCAUUGUUUCAAGCUGUGUUGUACAAAGUUGUGGAAAGUUUCUGUAUUUUGGAAAGUUUUCAUAUGCUUUGAGUUUUUCUUUUUGGUGAUAAAAAAUUUAGAUUCGAGGAAGCAAUCUGGGAGAACCAUCAAUCUCAUUGAUGAUUUAUAAUAGAACCUACGCAUAACUUACCAACUGUGAAAUUUUGAGUUUGAACCGAAGUCACAACAAGUGCGAACGAAAGGUCCAACUAUAUGUGCCAACAAUAAUAGAAUUUACGUAUAACCUACCAAUUGUGAAAUUUUGGAUUUGAACCAAAAUCACAGCAGGUGUGAGCGGAAGGUCCAACUAUCUGUGCCAACUAUAGUUGGCAUAUGCUUAAGGGUUUAGUUUAGUGUCAACUUUGGAGCUAGUAGGGUUAAUUGAAAGGCAUGUUUUGGAGGGUUGCAUCCCCAAAAGGUUCUUCAAAUGCAAGACCAAUUUCUUGGAUUGUAGUUUCAUUUGGAGUAGUUGCAGUAUUCUUAACUUUUGCUUCUUGGUUUAUUCUAUCAAAUCCUAUUGGUUCCACUUUUCAUGGUUAUUUCUAUGGUGUAGAGAAUUCAGCUUCGAAAGCUUCUGAUUUUUCAGUCUCUCAAACGAAUACAACUUCUGUUGAUCUUCACAUGAAUGCAAAUUUAGAUUUAGUAGAUAAUAAACCACUCGCUGAUCUUCAACCAUCGAUAGUUUCAAGCGGUGUGUCAAGUGAUAAUAGCAAAAUAGAACAAACUGAUACUAAUUCAAAUUCAGAAGUACCUUUCGGUGAAUCUGCUUCACCGAAAAUUGUUCCGGUAACUAAGGAGGUGAAUGGCUUAGAAACUUCUGAUGCAAUGGCUUCAAAAGCACCUAUUCCAGUGUCUGCUACCAAUUCCUCCAUUAUGAAAGGUUGUGAUCUGUACCAUGGAAAUUGGAUAUAUGAUCCAUUGGGACCGUUAUACACAAACAACUCGUGUCCUGUAUUGACACAGACGCAGAAUUGUCAGGGUAAUGGUAGGCCUGAUAAAGAUUAUGAGAAUUGGCGAUGGAAACCUUUUCAGUGCGACAUCCCACGAUUUGAUCCGAGGAAGUUUUUGGAGCUAAUGAGAGGCAAGACAUUGGCUUUUAUUGGCGAUUCAGUGGCUCGAAACCAGAUGGAGUCAAUGCUGUGUAUUCUCUGGCAGGCAGAGGAACCCGAGAAUCAGGGACAUCGCAACAUACAGCGAUAUUAUUUUAAGUCUACAUCUGUAACGAUUGUCCGAAUAUGGUCCUCAUGGCUUGUCAAACAUAAUUCAGAACCAUUUGACUUUGCUCCAGCUGGUGUGGAGAAAAUCUAUCUUGAUUCCCCUGAUGAGAUGUUGAUGGAAUUUCUCCCAACAUUUGACAUCGUUGUUCUUUCUUCUGGCCAUUGGUUUACUAAGCAAUCUGCAUAUAUCUUAAACAACGAGAUCGUAGGAGGACAAUUGUGGUGGCCAGAUAAGUCUCGGCGUAUGAAAAUCAACAGCGUUGAAGCAUUCGGUAUAUCUGUCGAAACAAUUUUUACUGCUCUUGUUACGCAUGCAAAUUAUACUGGACUUACAAUUUUGCGUUCAUAUUCACCCGAUCAUUACGAGGGUGGAGGAUGGAACACAGGUGGAUCAUGUACUGGGAAAACUAAGCCUCUUUCGCCCGGUGAAUUGGUGGAAAGUAAGUAUCUCGUUGCGAUGUACGAGCAACAGGUUAAAGGUUUUAACCGUGCGGUAAAAAAGACGACAAAUGGAUCUAAGAUGAGAUUGAUGGAUAUUACUGAAGCCUUUCAAUAUCGACAUGAUGGUCAUCCCGGUCCAUAUAGGAGCACUGAUCCUAACAAGAUUACGAAACGAGGCCGAGAUGGAAGACCACCGCCGCAGGAUUGCUUGCACUGGUGCAUGCCGGGACCUGUUGAUGCAUGGAAUGAAAUUAUGUUUGAAAUCAUAAAGAGAGAAUUCGACCGUGAUAGAACAUUGUAAGAUUUAUUUUUUCUCGACAACAAAGAUAUCAAUCAUCUCAAUCAGAAACCUAGUGAAUUCAACUCGAUUGAUGUUCCAAUUCAAACUCGAUUGCUUCCAUCGUUUCAAACUUGAUUUCCUCCACUGUUUCAAACUCGAUUACCUCCAUUGUAUUUAAAAUGAACUAUCUCCAUCAUUCUUACAAUCCAAGUCAUCAAUCGUCAUCCACUAUCAUUAACGUGUUCACCUCCACCAUCAUCAACCGUCCAUGUUGCUAGGUACAACUCACUACUAUGACAAUUUCAGGUAUUAUGGUUGUUGAUGGGUUCUUGAGGAGUGAUUGUGGAAACAGAGGGAAAAUUUCAUAAUUCGCAUACAUUUGCCAAGCGAAAAAUAAUUUCGCUAAGCAAAUUUAGUCUUAGGACCAACAUGGUUGCUUCAAACUUAAAUUCCCAAGCGAGUUAUAAAUUCUCUAAGCAAAUUUGACAGAUUCUGAACAAAUUAGCCUAUGUACUAGAUUCACCGACUGAAUUUGACGAAUUUGAAAAUAUUCCUUGUAGUUUUUAUUUGUGUUUA